rnacentral:rRNA from 1 species
GACGAACGCUGGCGGCGUGCUUAACACAUGCAAGUCGAACGGUGAACACGGAGCUUGCUCUGUGGGAUCAGUGGCGAACGGGUGAGUAACACGUGAGCAACCUGCCCCUGACUCUGGGAUAAGCGCUGGAAACGGCGUCUAAUACUGGAUAUGUGACGUGACCGCAUGGUCUGCGUUUGGAAAGAUUUUUCGGUUGGGGAUGGGCUCGCGGCCUAUCAGCUUGUUGGUGAGGUAAUGGCUCACCAAGGCGUCGACGGGUAGCCGGCCUGAGAGGGUGACCGGCCACACUGGGAUUGAGACACGGCCCAGACUCCUACGGGAGGCAGCAGUGGGGAAUAUUGCACAAUGGGCGAAAGCCUGAUGCAGCAACGCCGCGUGAGGGAUGACGGCCUUCGGGUUGUAAACCUUUUUUAGCAGGGAAGAAGCGAAAGUGACGGUACCUGCAGAAAAAGCGCCGGCUAACUACGUG